rnacentral:rRNA from 1 species
UACAUGGGGUGCAAACGUUGCUCGGAAUUAUUGGGCGUAAGCGCGCGUAGGCGGUUACUCAAGUCGGAUGUGAAAGCCCUCGGCUUAACUGAGGAAGUGCACCCGAAACUGAGUAGCUAGAGUACUAAAGAGGGUCGCGGAAUUCCCGGUGUAGAGGUGAAAUUCGUAGAUAUCGGGAGGAACACCGGUGGCGAAGGCGGCGACCUGGGUAGAUACUGACGCUGAGGCGCGAAAGCGUGGGAGCAACAGG